GUCAGGAGGGAAGAAGGGAGGGUGGGGUGGGGUUGGGGGAGAGGGGAGGACUUGGGAGCCUGUUUGCCCUGGAAAGCUCAAUAUAAGAAAACAAAGAGGAUAGUAGUGUGGGCUUUGGAAUAAGACUCAGGUUCAAAUUCUUACUCUACCAACUAGCCAGCUGAAUUGCCACAGCCAUCUCUUUGCAGAAUAGCUUGGAUGCUCAAUUUUCCUGAACGAUCUCCAGCGAGAGAUAGAACAACUAUCACCACAUUUCAUUUAAAAAUCUCUUCAAGACCCUUCCUCAGUUCUUAAACUGGCAACCUGCCCAGCAUCAGCCUCACUUGAGAAAUUCGAGAACUACCUGAUUGGAGAAGAGAACUAGAUUUAUAUUUGUUUUGAGUCACAGAAAAGUGACAGUUUAAAUUCUGAAAGAAGAUCACAUUUGUAGUGCCUCUUUGGAGACAAAACCUUAGGUCUUGGAUUUGUCACAUGUUAGAGCUCAAUGGGAGUUUAUCAGUGCUCUCCAAGUCCAGCACUCCUAUUUACCAGAGGUGAAAAAUGAGUGUGAGUGAGGAAAUUAUUAUUUCCAGGGCCACACAAUCUAAAAAAGUCAGUGUCAGUACUAGAACCAGAUGCCCUGAUAGCAGUUCUCUCCCUGGCAUCUCCUUGCAUUUACUUUGCAUUUCACUUUGGCAGGAGAAGUACCAGACACCCUUGAGACACAAGACAGGAUACAAUGGACAUGGGAGUAGAUAGAUGAGCAGACUCAAUUUCUAGAAAUCCAACUUCUCUACACUGGAUGUAUUGUCUUUGGGCAAAUACAUUGCAGGAUAACCACACUAUGGUUCCCUGUGGGAGACAGCUUGGCAUGGGCUGUCAGGAGAGAAAGGGCCUGGGUUGGCUCUAUUGCUGUCUGCAGUUUCUUUAGACUAUAAUUAUGAACCAUUCAACUGCAUCUGCAGCCCCAACAAUGUGGGGUGGAUUGGCCUAAUCCACAGACCAAGCGACAUUUUAAAAUCCAGCAGUUUAGACACGUAUUCCUCUUGCAGCAAAUCAAACAUGGCUCAGACAGGAAGAGAUGGCUGCUCAGAAGCAGUCUUCAGGAAUUUCCGAACUUCGAGUUGAAUCUUUUAUUUCACUGGCUUCCACAAAGCGUUACAGCUCACAUUUGAUUCUCAGCUCUUAAGGACCAAAAAGAAAUGAAGUCUUCUUUAAUUUGCAAGCAGCCAGCUGUGCUCACUCCACAUCUUGCAUCAGCCCUGUGAAGGAGUCAGAAUGUAGUGGAUGGUCCUGCCCAUGACUCAUGAGGUGGAACAGACCCAGCUCACAUCUCAUCUAUCUGGAUUGGCUCCCAUACAAUAAAAAUCUUUCUUCCGUUGAGUUGGUGAAAAGAAGAGAAAAAAAAAAAAAAAA
rnacentral:lncRNA from 1 species